rnacentral:rRNA from 1 species
AAGACCUUGCACUUUUGGAGCGGCCGAUGUCUGAUUAGCUAGUUGGUGGGGUAAUGGCCUACCAAAGCUUCGAUCAGUAGCUGGUCUGAGAGGACGGCCAGCCACACUGGGACUGAGACACGGCCCAGAUUUCUACGGGAGGCAGCAGUGGGGAAUUUUGGACAAUGGGCGCAAGCCUGAUCCAGCCAUGCCGCGUGAGUGAAGAAGGCCUUCGGGUUGUAAAGCUCUUUCAGCCGGGAAGAAAAGGUUGCGAUUAAUAAUCGCAAUUUAUGACGGUACCGGAAGAAGAAGCACCGGCUAACUACGUGCCAGCAGCCGCGGUAAUACGUAGGGUGCGAGCGUUAAUCGGAAUUACUGGGCGUAAAGGGUGCGCAGGCGGUUUUGUAAGUCAGAUGUGAAAUCCCCGGGCUUAACCUGGGAACU